CCAGAUCAUCUGCUUAGAACAAAUGUGGCUGGACAAUGUGAUAUUCUAAUUCCACAGAUUGAGUAAUUCAAGAAUUUCAGAGAUGCAACAAGGACGGAAUUACUGUCCUCAUUCUAGCUUUAGAAGGCAGGCAUGCAAGUACCUAGAGAAAGAGAACAGAUGAAAGCUGGCAGCCUCUUCAUUUACAGACAGUACAAUUUUCUGAAUUUAGCAAGACUCUUCCUUUCCCCCAAGAACGCUCUAUGACAUCUCUUAAAAGAAGAAGAAAAGGAAAUGUACCAAAUUAUGUUUACAGGCUGGUGGAGAGAACACAUCUAAGUGGAGUGAGGCCUUGCUUUUUCUUCAGGAAUCCCAAGGCCGAACACCACAUGGAAGCCUCCAAGGCUUGGGGCCUGCCCUCUCUGAAGCGAUGUCCCGAGCUAUACCUUGGGCCCUUUUAG
ensembl:lncRNA